GUAACACGUAUGCAAUCUACCCUUAUCUGGAGGAUAGCCCAGAGAAAUCUGGAUUAAUAUUCCAUAGUACUGCGAAAACGCAUGUUUUUGCAGUUAAAGCUCCGGCGGAUAAGGAUGAGCAUGCGUCCCAUUAGCUAGUUGGCGAGGUAACGGCUCACCAAGGCUACGAUGGGUAGGGGUUCUGAGAGGAUGAUCCCCCACACUGGUACUGAGACACGGACCAGACUCCUACGGGAGGCAGCAGUGAGGAAUAUUGGGCAAUGGACGCAAGUCUGACCCAGCCAUGCCGCGUGCAGGAUGACGGCCCUAUGGGUUGUAAACUGCUUUUAUAUACCAAGAAACCCCCGGACGUGUCCGGGGCUGACGGUAGUAUAUGAAUAAGGACCGGCUAACUCCGUGCCAGCAGCCGCGGUAAUACGGAGGGUCCAAGCGUUAUCCGGAUUUAUUGGGUUUAAAGGGUUCGUAGGCGGGGAAUUAAGUCAGUGGUGAAAGCCUGUAGCUCAACUAUAGAAUUGCCAUUGAUACUGAUUUUCUUGAGUGUAUUUGGAGUUGGCGGAAUAUGUCAUGUAGCGGUGAAAUGCUUAGAUAUGACAUAGAACACCGAUCGCGAAGGCAGCCAACUAAGAUACUACUGACGCUGAGGAA
rnacentral:rRNA from 1 species